rnacentral:miRNA from 1 species
GUAAAUCCUUGCCUCUCACUGU